rnacentral:lncRNA from 1 species
CUAGAGUUUACUUAUCACUGCACAAAGUUCUGAUCUUUCUAUAAGAACUAGAGACACCAUCUUCCAGUUUGGUGUAUAAUUAUAGACCAAGUAAGGGGUGUUUUAUUUGAUAACGGCAGUGGGUAGGGGAGAACACGUAUCUCUCAAAAGCAAAGAGCAUUCAUUGUAUCAGCUUGGAAGAUGAUUUUCAAAAAGACUGUCUCCAUAAUAUAGAAAAUCAUAGACUAGCUCCCUCAGUAAAAUGUACUGCAGUGCCCUGUUGUCCAAUCAGAGCUUUCCAUUUUUCAGACUUCUGUUGCUAUGGCAAUAGCUCAGUACUGGCCAGAACAUCAGCCUUAGGAUAUUGAUCUAGGAUGGAUCAGGAAGUUUACAGUGCGUGGCUCUGGCCUCGAAGGGGGUACUCUGUGUCCAAGCAUGGGACUGUUUUAUUGAGGAGUAGUGGGAUACAGUGGCCAGAAGACUGAACUGGGAGAUAGGAGACUAGGGUGCAAUGCUGUUCAUGUUUUCCCAUUGUGUUUCUGGGACUCAGCAUCCUUACCUAUUACACAAGGAAGCUUUAGUAGCUCAUUUCUGAGAUCCUUUCUAGUUCUGACAUUCUUUGUCUGACAUUCUAGCUCUAAACAAUCUUGUGGAUAAAAGCUCUGAGUAUAGGCAGAGUCUUACUAUUGAGUAAAAGCCAAAGCUUGAUGGAGGAUUUCCCAGGAAAAAUAAGUCCUGAGUCAUUCUGCUUUCUCUGGCUGUGUUUCAGAUCCCCUUCAUCUGACCUCCAAGGGAGCUCAAAUUGGGAAUGGAGAGGCUCUGCAGUCAUUUCAGUAGCACAUCUUGAGGAUGGCAUGGAGAAAACUAAUCAGAAGCAUCAGGAUCUCUAUGUCAGUGCUUGUCCUCACAGCCCCAGACCCAUUCAGCACAUCUAUAUCAUUGUAGUGCAUGAAAUGGAAACUGAUAACCCCUGA